ensembl:lncRNA
UUUUCAUACAGCUGUUUACAGGGAUAAACCUAAUUAAAGAGCAGGCAUGAAUACAGGAACAGGUAAACAGCUGAGCCGUAAAAGUUUCUCUCCAGGCAUGUUUUCAACAAAAUGCCAUCACACACUGUCUGGUGAUACAUGCUGCUACCCAGAUGGAACAAAACGGGGUGAGUGAUCUUUCCUUAAAGCUGCUGCCCACCAGCCCAGGCUGCAACUGCCAGAGAAGCCUUCUCCUCCCCUCACUCCCUCUCUUCCUUCUCCUCCCCGUGGGUUCUUUUACGGCACUUAACUUUACAAAACACAGUUGUGAGGCUGAUCUUACAUGCAAUUACAGAUCAGCACCAGUAUAUUUAUUGCAAACUCCUUAAACAUCAGGACAUCAAAAUUAAAAAAAUAAUAAUAAAGAAAAAAAAAUAAAAGAAAAGAAGGAAACAAUAUUCUGUUGCAUAAUUACGAGUAGGUUUUUGUAGCCAAUGAACCAGAAAUGUAUUCAGAAGAAUAAACAGAAGAAAAAAAAGAAAAGAAAAACGAAGGAUAUUCAUAAACAGUUCAAACAAAACAUGGUGCUGCCUCCAUUGAAACAUUUCCCUGCAUUGCCAGCUCUGUUUCAUGAGCACAUGGGGUCCUGUUGCAAGAGAGAUGUGAAGCCACAAGCUGAAACUUCCCAGGAGUUAAUUUUCAAACAUUGCAUUUCCAGGGGCUGAGUACAUUUGAAUGGGAGAGAUCUGCACACAGCGUGGGAUCCGAUUGAGACUGGGGAUCUCAAACGGUAUUUCCUAGGAAAACCUGGUUAUCCCCUUUAAAACAAAAUAGUGAAAACACCUGAACCACACAAAAAUGAGCCGCGAUUGGUUGGCUUCCAUAAGAGAUUGCAAUAUGAGAAAAUAUUUAACUCCUUGCAUAGCUGCUGAAUUGGCUGCUAAAUUUUGCUUGAAUCACCGAAGCACGACAACCUUGCAUUCUGCCACUUGGCAACUUCGCACCUGAAAGCCCAGCUCUGCCUGCCAGGUCGGGGCACCCUGCUGGGCUCUGCUGAAAGCCGGGAGCCCCGGAGGCUUUGCCAGCAUGGCCAUGCAGGAGGCGUCCCCAGCUGUCCUGGUUUCAUAACUGGUUUCAUAACACCAGCUGAUGCCUCUCAGCUCCAGCCAGUGGCAGCUGUCCCAGCUCUUUGCUCCCCCGAUGAGGGAUGAAAGCUGUUCUGACAACAGGGCGUUCGGUGGCAUAUUUACAUCUAAUGAGCUAGGUCUUGCUUGCAGAGCUAUGCUGGUCACAAAUCGAAUCUCAAAGGACCCCUAGAUGGUGUAGUCUUGUUGGCAAGGGCUUGCAAUGUAGGCCUAGCCAGAGGGACAGAGGGCAGGAUUCAUCUCGCUUGACUGUAAGCAAUUUAAAGGUAGACGUUGAAGUCAGAGGCACCUCUGGAAGGCAGUCCCUUGGAUCUCUCUGCAGGUGAGAGCUGGACAUAUAGCAUUAGGUGAGAUGAAGCCCGUCCCUAGAGGGCUGGAGGACAGGCUCCUUCCAGCCACCCUGUUCUGUCACUAGCUCUGGAGACCAUGCUUCAGAAGGCUGCUGUUUAAAUGUGUUAUCUAUCUUUACAUGUGUCAAUGUACAUGGUAAUGAUAGCCUGUGCUGGGCUUCAUGCUGCCACAACUACAUAUGCAAGCUCAUUAAAGCUAGCUCAGAUACUUCUGCACUAUUAUAUAGACAUUCCUUCGGGCAGAGUAUCCUUUCACACCUGUAAAGUUAAAGCCUAGGGGCAAACCUGGACUAUAUGCCCCCAGCAUAUGUUCAUGUUGACGUUGUCUUGUUUGCUGUAGUUUGGAUCACAGGUGUCCUAAAGUUAUAAUUUCCAACUGGAGGCGAGGCAGGAGUGUUGUUUGAUAUUCAAAGGAUGUGGAAACUGAAAUGCUUAGGCGUGGCUGAAGAAAAUACACAGUAAGAAAGAACAACAUGAUGACAUUCUGCAGCUAAAAGUUUAGUUCAAUACCAGUCUAAUGCGUUAAAUAAAGCUCCAUUAGACUGCAGAAUAGGAAACAGUGGCAGCCAGUAGAUAAGACACUAAAACAAGACAAGGCAACGUACGUGGGGGUUUUUGGUGGGAAAUGCCCCACUGGAACUGAGUGACCACACGAGCCUUUCCCUCUCCGUCUGGGAGGACCAAGGAGCUCAGCUAUGCCAGAGCAGCCCCAGCUGCGGGGACAUGGCCACCGCGAAGUUACCUUGGUUCACAUGUUUUGUUUUCCAGUUCUGAAUAGUUUAGCGUAAGAAUUUUUAGACAACAGGAGUAAAAGGCUGCACUAAAAAGAAUAAACCAAUAGCUUGUUGAUGAGCAAGAAAAUCAGAAGGGCUGGUCUGAGCCAGGCAUUCCAUUUUGCUAAAGGCUUUUGCAUAUGUGACCAGACUGCCCUAAAGCAGGGAAGUGGAUGUUUGCCCCCAGACCUGAAGGCACAUUGCAGGGUUCUCAAUGUCCAUUUCAAGGCAAUCAACACAACCAAUGUGUGCACUCAAAUUUGAUUUCCUUUGUUUUCCCUCAGUGAUGACUUUGUGAAACAGCCACCAGUUCACAUGCAAGUGGGUGCUGCCUAACUGCAGGCAGCAGAUCAGGUCCAGCUAGGGUCAGUGCUGUGCCAUUUGAAAACCUACUUUACUUUCCUGAAACAGCAUCUCUAAUUAGAGUUUUCAUUUAUUUGUUCUUUCCAAUGCUCAGUCUUAUUUGGGUGCGGACAAAGGUGCUGCUGCUCCUCCCUCCAUUGGGACCUUUUGGGAAGUGGUAAGCAAGGAGUAAUGGGAAACAGAACAUGCAGACUUUGAUGUGUGUUGCAUGUUCCCUUCUUUUCUGAUCUCUUCACAGCGAUUUAAUGUUCCUCAUUCACUUUUAAUAACCUCGGACUGAUGGAGAGGUACACGAAAACAUAAGGAAUAGGAACGCCUUGGCACCAUAACCAGAAGACGGACAGCAUACAGGUUGUGUCUGAUUACCCAGCAAUGUCAUCGGAGUGCUCUGAAAUCUGCAGUCCAGGUGUGUUUCUAUGAUUCCUCGUGCCCAUUCUUUGUGUUGAGCUACAUCAUGGCAUUUUGCAUUGCAGGUUUCUACCUCACAGUUGUACUGUUUAUUUGGCCCCAUUUCAUGGUAACCAGAAAGAUUUGGGGUGCUGGAUUUUAACUGGGAAGCCUCAUGCUAGUUUCUUGUCCCAGUAAAUCUAAGAUAGACAAGUCAUUUUAUACCUCUUACAUUGCAAUCCACAGUCCUGUGAUGCCCUCAAGAUUUCUCCUCUCAAAGAGGAGAAAGCAGAAGAGCACAAGCUAACUGAAGGAAACUCAGUCUCACAGCAAUCACUUCCCAGCCUCCACACAAACAAACGGGUUAAGCUGAGAUAAAGCCAUCGUAAUCAGUAUCAAAUUAAGGACAAUCUUUUAUCUUAGUACAAACCAGAGAACACAGUGUACAGAGUAACAGAAAAAUAUACAUCUUCAGCCAUACAAAACACACAAAAGCUUUCCUGUUGGAAUAGUAUCUUGUAGCUGACAGUCAGUUGUUGGUAGCUUUGUAGGCAACCCUGCACUGCUGGACAGGGGGAAAUGGAGAACUACUCUUUACAAUUUAGGAAACUGUUGGUCGUGUUACCUGUAUACCACAACACACUCCUCGAGGCUGCGGUCCUGCUGAUGAGAACGCCCACCCAACCCUGUGCCACAAACUAUUUGUAUUACUUUUAAUGUGAUCGAUAAAUCAGUGCAGCAGGAAGGUGGAUCAGAGAGGGAAACACCCUGGCUGUGCCAGCUGUACUCGUGCUGCCCAGGCUCUGUAGCUGGAGCCGUCUACGUGCGGGCAAGCCUAAGUGCCCAGCAACCUGGGGAAGCUGGAACUUCCCACCAAGUUACAAAAAGUCAGUAUCAAGCUAGAGAGUCAGUAGCAAAUCGCUUUAAACAACUG